AAAAACAAGAAACAGAAGAGAAAAACAAACUAAAGAAAAAAAAAGCAAAGAUGAAGGCAAAAACAAAAGAAAGCCAAAACCAGAAAAAACAUGGAAGAGAAAAAGAGUUUGGGUUUAGAGUUUGGAGUGCCGUUUGAGUUUUUGGUAACGUCGUUUAUGCAUCUUUUUAGUUAGUUCAAUCUUACAGGUUCUUAUCCAAUUCCAUACUCUUUAUUUUAUAAGUUUCAUUGUGAAUCACAACAUAAUGAAUAAAGAUAUUUAA
rnacentral:lncRNA from 1 species